rnacentral:rRNA from 1 species
GACGAACGCUGGCGGCGUGCUUAACACAUGCAAGUCGAGCGGUAAGGCCCUUCGGGGUACGACGAGCGGCGAACGGGUGAGUAACACGUGGGUGACCUGCCUCUAGCUCUGGGAUAAGCCUGGGAAACUGGGUCUAAUACCGGAUAUGACUCCACGGCGCAUGUUGUGGGGUGGAAAGCCUUGUGUGGCUAGAGAUGGGCCCGCGGCCUAUCAGCUUGUUGGUGGGGUGAUGGCCUACCAAGGCGACGACGGGUAGCCGGCCUGAGAGGGCGACCGGCCACACUGGGACUGAGACACGGCCCAGACUCCUACGGGAGGCAGCAGUGGGGAAUCUUGCGCAAUGGGCGAAAGCCUGACGCAGCGACGCCGCGUGAGGGAUGACGGCCU